ACCCAUCAUAGCUCAGUUGGUUAAGAAUGAGACUAAUAAUCUCAAGGUUGUGGGUUCGAGCCCCAUGAUGGGCA